rnacentral:rRNA from 1 species
UACGUAGGGCGCAAGCGUUGUCCGGAAUUAUUGGGCGUAAAGAGCUCGUAGGCGGCCAGUUGCGUCUGCUGUGAAAUCCCGGGGCUCAACCCCGGGCGUGCAGUGGAUACGGGCUGGCUAGAGGCAGGCAGGGGAGAACGGAAUUCCCGGUGUAGCGGUGAAAUGCGCAGAUAUCAGGAGGAACACCGGUGGCGAAGGCGGUUCUCUGGGCCUGUACUGACGCUGAGGAGCGAAAGCGUGGGGAGCGAACAGG